rnacentral:rRNA from 1 species
AGGAUAAACGCUGGCGGCGUGCCUAACACAUGCAAGUCGAACGUCCUUGCGGUCUUCUUCUUCGGAGGAGGACCGCGAGGGAGUGGCGGACGGGUGAGUAACACAUGGGUACCUGCCUUUCAGUGAGGAAUACCGGCGAGAAAUCGCCGACAAGACCGCAUAGGCUUCCUUCGGUAGCCCGAGGGAAGCAAAGUUACUUCGCGAGAGGUGACGCUGGAAGAGGGGCCUGUGGCCGAUUAGCUAGUUGGGGGGUAACGGCCUCCCAAGGCGACGAUCGGUAGCUGGUCUGAGAGGACGAUCAGCCACACUGGGAUUGAGAACGGCCCAGACUCCUACGGGGGGCAGCAGUGAGGAAUUUUCCGCAAUGGACGAAAGUCUGACGGAGCAACGCCGCGUGCAGGAGGAAGGUUUUCGGAUCGUAAACUGCUUUUCUCGGGGACGAGCAAGGACGGUACCCGAGGAAGAAGCCCGGCUAACUACGUGCCAGCAGCCGC